rnacentral:snRNA from 1 species
AUCACUUCUCGGCCUUUUGGCUAAGAUCAAGUGUAGUAUCUAUGCUUGAAACAGUCUGAAGACCAACAGAGGAGAGGCACAUUCAGAAACAGACCUAUA